rnacentral:rRNA from 1 species
CCUACGGGUGGCAGCAGUGGGGAAUAUUGGACAAUGGGGGAAACCCUGAUCCAGCGACGCCGCGUGAGUGAAGAAGUAUUUCGGUACGUAAAGCUCUAUCAGCAGGAAAGAAAAUGACGGUACCUGACUACGAAGCCCCGGCUAACUACGUGCCCGCAGCCGCGGUCAUACGUAGGGGGCACGCGUUAUCCGGAGUUAAUGGGUGGAAAGGGAGCGUAGACGGCAGCGCAAGUCUGGAGGGAAAUGCCGGGGCCCAACCCCGGAACUGCUCGGGAAACUGUGAAUCGGGAGUGCAGGAGAGGUAAGAGGAAUGCCUGGUGUAGCGGUGAAAUGCGUAGAUAUCAGGAGGAACACCGGCGGCGAAGGCGGCUUACUGGACUGUAACUGACGUUGAGGCUCGAAGGCGUGGGGAGCAAACAGGAUUAGAGACCCGGGUAGUC